CACUAAGAAGCUAUGCAAGAGCACUAGCCUUUUAAGCUAGAAAAAGAGGGACUUCCCCCACCCCUCCUUAGUGA
rnacentral:tRNA from 1 species